rnacentral:rRNA from 1 species
ACUGAACGCUGGCGGCAGGCUUAACACAUGCAAGUCGAACGUGAACGGAUUAUAGCUUGCUAUAAUUGUCAGCUAAGUGGCGCACGGGUGAGUAAUGUAUAGGUAAUAUGCCUCUUACUAAGGGAUAACAAAUGGAAACGUUUGCUAAUACCUUAUACUCCUUAUUAACAGAAGUUAAUAAGGGAAAGAUUUAUUGGUAAGAGAUUAGCCUGUAUUGUAUCAGUUAGUUGGUGGGGUAGUGGCUUACCAAGACUAUGACACAUAACUGGUUUGAGAGGAUGAUCAGUCACACUGGAACUGAGACACGGUCCAGACUCCUACGGGAGGCAGCAGUGGGGAAUAUUGCACAAUGGACGAAGGUCUGAUGCAGCAACGCCGCGUGAAGGAUGACACAUUUCGGUGCGUAAACUCCUUUUAUAUGAGAAGAUAAUGACGGUAUUAUAUGAAUAAGCACCGGCUAACUCCGUGCCAGCCGCCGCCGUAAGAC